UACGUAGGGUCCGAGCGUUGUCCGGAAUUAUUGGGCGUAAAGGGCUCGUAGGCGGUUUGUUGCGUCGGGAGUGAAAACUUACAGCUUAACUGUGAGCGUGCUUCCGAUACGGGCAGACUUGAGGUAUUCAGGGGAGAACGGAAUUCCUGGUGUAGCGGUGAAAUGCGCAGAUAUCAGGAGGAACACCGGUGGCGAAGGCGGGUCUCUGGGCCGAUACCGACGCUGAGGAGCGAAAGCGUGGGGAGCGAACAGG
rnacentral:rRNA from 1 species